rnacentral:rRNA from 1 species
GCUCGUAGGCGGUCUGUCACGUCGGCUGUGAAAACCCGGGGCUCAACCCCGGGCCUGCAGUCGAUACGGGCAGACUAGAGUUCGGUAGGGGAGACUGGAAUUCCUGGUGUAGCGGUGAAAUGCGCAGAUAUCAGGAGGAACACCGGUGGCGAAGGCGGGUCUCUGGGCCGAAACUGACGCUGAGGAGCGAAAGCGUGGGGAGCGAACAGGAUUAGAUACCCUGGUAGUCCACGCCGUAAACGUUGGGCGCUAGGUGUGGGUCGUCUUCCACGCGAUCCGUGCCGCAGCUAACGCAUUAAGCGCCCCGCCUGGGGAGUACGGCCGCAAGGCUAAAACUCAAAGGAAUUGACGGGGGCCCGCACAAGCGGCGGAGCAUGUGGCUUAAUUCGACGCAACGCGAAGAACCUUACCAAGGCUUGACAUGCAGGGAAAUCCGGCAGAGAUGCCGGGUCCGCAAGGGUCCUGCACAGGUGGUGCAUGGUUGUCGUCAGCUCGUGUCGUGAGAUGUUGGGUUAAGUCCCGCAACGAGCGCAACCCUCGUCCUAUGUU